rnacentral:rRNA from 1 species
GAUGAACGCUGGCGGCGUGCCUAAUACAUGCAAGUCGAGCGAACGGACGAGAAGCUUGCUUUUCUGAUGUUAGCGGCGGACGGGUGAGUAACACGUGGAUAACCUACCUAUAAGACUGGGAUAACUUCGGGAAACCGGAGCUAAUACCGGAUAAUAUUUUGAACCGCAUGGUUCAAAAGUGAAAGACGGUCUUGCUGUCACUUAUAGAUGGAUCCGCGCUGCAUUAGCUAGUUGGUAAGGUAACAGCUUACCAAGGCAACGAUGCAUAGCCGACCUGAGAGGGUGAUCGGCCACACUGGAACUGAGACAUGGUCCAGACUCCUACGGGAGGCAGCAGUAGGGAAUCUUCCGCAAUGGGCGAAAGCCUGACGGAGCAACGCCGCGUGAGUGAUGAAGGUCUUCGGAUCGUAAAACUCUGUUAUUAGGGAAGAACAUAUGUGUAAGUAACUGUGCACAUCUUGACGGUACCUAAUCAGAAAGCCACGGCUAACUACGUG